AACGCGAAGAACCUUACCUGGGUUUGACAUGGAUCGGGAGUGCUCAGAGAUGGGUGUGCCUCUUUUGGGGUCGGUUCACAGGUGGUGCAUGGCUGUCGUCAGCUCGUGUCGUGAGAUGUUGGGUUAAGUCCCGCAACGAGCGCAACCCUCGUUCUAUGUUGCCAGCACGUUAUGGUGGGGACUCAUAGGAGACUGCCGGGGUCAACUCGGAGGAAGGUGGGGAUGACGUCAAAUCAUCAUGCCCCUUAUGUCUUGGGCUUCACGCAUGCUACAAUGGCCGGUACAGAGGGUUGCGAUACUGUGAGGUGGAGCUAAUCCCUAAAAGCCGGUCUCAGUUCGGAUUGGGGUCUGCAACUCGACCCCAUGAAGUCGGAGUCGCUAGUAAUCGCAGAUCAGCA
rnacentral:rRNA from 1 species